rnacentral:rRNA from 1 species
AAUAUUGGACAAGGGGGGCAACGCUGACCCAGCCAGGCCGCGUGUGUGAAGAAGGACUUCGGUUUGUAAAUAACUUUAUGUUGGGAGGAGGGGCUCUAGGCUACUACCCUGAAGUUUUGACGUUACCAACAGAAUAAGCACCGGCUAACUCAGAGCCCGCAGCCGCGGUAAUACAGAGGGUGCAAGCGUUAAUCGGAAUUACUGGGCGUAAAGCGCGCGUAGGUGGUUCAGUAAGAUGGGUGUGAAAUCCCCGGGCUUAACCUGGGAACUGCUUUCAAAACUGGCAAGCUAGAGUAUGGCAGAGGGUGGUGGAAUUUCCUGUGUAGCGGUGAAAUGCGUAGAUAUAGGAAGGAACACCAGUGGCGAAGGCGACUACCUGGACUGAUACUGACACUGAGGUGCGAAAGCGUGGGGAGCAAAC